CUUAGCUUGUUUGUUAAAAUGCAUGGAUCAAAUUCCAGAGACCCAAGGGAGAGAUCUCCACCACCAUAGUCACCAUCAAUCUCGUCUUCUUCUCCUCCAUCUGCAAUAAUAAUAAUAAAGCACCCAUGUCUAAAUUUAAAAGCAUAAAAAUAAAUAAUAUAUUGACAAAAAAAAAGAAAAAAGAAAAAAAUUACCUUCUAUUUCAUAUAAACUGAAAGAUGGUUUAAUAUUAUUAUUGUUACCAUUGUGAUUAGCAUCAUCUUCCUUUUUGAUAUUGCUAGAAUUAAACCAACUUCGUAGCCUCCUAUAAUACCUUAUUGGCAUCUUUUUAUGUACCUCCAUGGCUAAAGAAGAAGAAGAAGAAGAAUAAAAGGAGAUUUAGAAAAAGAAGAAGAAGAAUUGGAUUUUGAGUCCAUGCAUGGGAAGAGAGGAUCCAAGAAAAUAGGCAAAAUGAGCCAAUAGAAGAACAUUCUCUUCUGCUUUUUCGAUCUUCACAUCAUCCAAUAUGAAAUAAAUUAAAGUUGGUUGGUUGGGUUUGCAAUAAAAAUGGGUUUUUAUUGUGUUAAUCGUCCCUAUGCAAAAACAAGAGGGAAGUGACAAAAUAGUGAGAGAGAGAGAGAGAGAAAGAAUAGCUUAGGUUCUUCAAAUUGGGUUACUAAUCCUACUUCUUUUCAGCGUUAAACACGAGGGAGGGAAAUAAGAAGAAGAAGUAGGAGUAGUAGUCAUUAGUCAAGU
rnacentral:lncRNA from 1 species